UUGCAAGAUAUCUGCAACUACUGAGAGUUACCGCAAACCAGAAACUAAAUAUGGCAUCUGUAUGUCCUGUUCUGUUCCUGAUCCUCGCCGUUGGAUGGGCUGCCAUGCCAGUGAUGUCUGAGAUCGACGUUCAAGCCAAUGAGUCGCGAUAUGAGAAAUUCCUCAGGCAGCAUUUCGACCCAAAUAUGGCAGAAAAAAAAUGUGACAGUGAAAUUAAAAGUAGGAAGAUCUAUGGCAAUGAGGACACUCACAGCUGUAAACCAGUUAAUACAUUCAUUGCUGCUGGCAGUAAAAACUUAAUCAAGGAUGUUUGUGAAAAGGCAGGUUCUCCAUAUCAUGGAAAUCUACGCAUAAGCAAUAACCCUUUUUUUGUGAUCACCUGCACGCUGAUGGGAGGGUCAGACCGCCCACCAUGUGAAUACAGGGGACGCGGCAGCACCAGAAAGAUUGUCAUUGGCUGUGAGAACAACCUCCCAGUGCAUUAUGACGAGGGCAUAAUCAUUCCAGCUGCCAAUAAACCAGUUUAGACCCAAAUUAAUUGGGAUUGAGAUGAGAUUAUUAGCUUGUGCAUUUUCUGUGAGCUGACCUGCAUGUAUAAUCAUGUUCCUCCAAUAUCCCAUUUAUAUGCAACUUCUCUAAGGCUUCUGUAAAAUCUGUUGCUGAGUUAAAGAUUCUGUAUUAGCAGCUUUGCAUUGAAUAUCACAAUGAAUAAAUAAAAAACUGCAUUUUAAAA